AUACAUUGGAUGAAUGUGAGUCAUCGGAUUGAUUUCAUUCAAUCCGAGCCCUACAUUCAUCCGGGGGUUCGU
rnacentral:pre_miRNA from 1 species